AUGGAAGUUGAGAGGGUUUUUGAUAGUGGAAAGAAAGAGUGAGGUAUUAAAGUUAAGUUCAGGAUUUUGUGUUUAAUCUGAGGCAAAUCAGGAAGUGCUUGGGAGGGUCUGCUACACCUACAUAGUGAUUCUGGUGUUGUGUGCUGUUCCUAUUAUUGUGGCUGCUGUAUUGCUCUGGUGUUGGCUGCUGUAUUGAUUCUGGUAUUGUGGCUGCUGUAUUGCUCUGCUGUAUUGGUGUAUGUUGCUGUGUUGAGCUGUUGGUGUAUGCUGUUCUGCUGGUGUUUGCUGUUCUGCUAUGGUGAGUAGUGUGGUGUAUGCUGUUCUGCUGGUGUUUGCUGUUCAGCUAUGGGGCCUAGUUAGUGGGUGCUGUAUUGCCCUGUUGGUGUAUGCUGUUCUGCUAUGGUGCCUAGUUGGUGGUCUGAAUUGUGGGCUGAAUUGUUCGGGAAGGCUAUCUCUGUUAUGGUGGUCGACUUCUGCUGUGGCUCCAUUGUUUCAGUUGUUUAAUGUAAGCAAAGCUUGUCAAAGUGGGGAAAAGUCAGUGCUUAUCAGUCUUAUUAUCUGUUUUGGCUCCUGCCAGUUUAUCUAUCAGUUUGGUUUCUUAGUUCCAAGUUAUAGACUAGUUCAUCUA